GAUGAACGCUGGCGGCGUGCUUAACACAUGCAAGUCGAACGAUGAAGCCCAGCUUGCUGGGUGGAUUAGUGGCGAACGGGUGAGUAACACGUGAGUAACCUGCCCUUGACUCUGGGAUAAGCCUGGGAAACUGGGUCUAAUACUGGAUAUGACUUCUCAUCGCAUGGUGGGGGGUGGAAAGAUUUAUUGGUCUUGGAUGGACUCGCGGCCUAUCAGCUUGUUGGUGAGGUAAUGGCUCACCAAGGCGACGACGGGUAGCCGGCCUGAGAGGGUGACCGGCCACACUGGGACUGAGACACGGCCCAGACUCCUACGGGAGGCAGCAGUGGGGAAUAUUGCACAAUGGGCGCAGGCCUGAUGCAGCGACGCCGCGUGAGGGAUGACGGCCUUCGGGUUGUAAACCUCUUUCAGUAGGGAAGAAGCGAGAGUGACGGUACCUGCAGAAGAAGCGCCGGCUAACUACGUG
rnacentral:rRNA from 1 species